GUUGCUGGCAGGCUCUGUCCCUGCUGCAGCCUGGGACACAGAACACAGCUCCAGCCUGGCCCCAUAGCUGCAGUGGAGAGCUACAGCGCAGGGCUGCUCUCCCUGCUCUAGGCUGCAGUGGAAACGGAACCUGCCAGCACCAGAGCAAAGAUACAUUUUGCCUUGAUUCUGAAUACAGCCCUGUGAGGGAUCCAUCUGCUUGGAACAGACAGCUUCAGACAGUAGACUGCAAGAUCUUCAGAAAAGGGAUGGUGAGAGGCUGUGUUACUGAGAAGCUCCUCCUACCUAAAACAAGGACGAAGCACUGUAUUGCAGCUUUGCCUCAAACAUGAAAUUAAACAAACUAUCUACA